rnacentral:tRNA from 1 species
GUUCUUGUAGUUGAAUUACAACGGGGGUUUUUCGAGUCCCGAGUCCUGGUUGAAGUCCUGGCGAGAAUC